rnacentral:rRNA from 1 species
GUUGGAUUAGCUAGUUGGUGGGGUAAUGGCCUACCAAGGCGACGAUCCAUAGCUGGUCUGAGAGGAUGAUCAGCCACACUGGGACUGAGACACGGCCCAGACUCCUACGGGAGGCAGCAGUGGGGAAUAUUGGACAAUGGGCGCAAGCCUGAUCCAGCCAUGCCGCGUGAGUGAUGAAGGCCUUAGGGUUGUAAAGCUCUUUCACCGAUGAAGAUAAUGACGGUAGUCGGAGAAGAAGCCCCGGCUAACUUCGUGCCAGCAGCCGCGGUAAUACGAAGGGGGCUAGCGUUGUUCGGAAUUACUGGGCGUAAAGCGCACGUAGGCGGAUAUUUAAGUCAGGGGUGAAAUCCCGCAGCUCAA